rfam:Clostridium butyricum E4 str. BoNT E BL5262 CLP.Contig66, whole genome shotgun sequence.
GGUCAAGCUACAAAGGGCGCAUGGUGAAUGCCUUGGCAUCAGGAGCCGAUGAAGGACGUGAUAAGCUGCGAUAAGCUUCGGGUAGGCGCACAUAGCCAGAGAUCCGGAGAUUUCCGAAUGGGGAAACCCGCAUGAGAAACCUCAUGCAUCGUAAAGUGAAUACAUAGCUUUAUGAAGGAACACCUAGGGAACUGAAACAUCUAAGUACCUAGAGGAAGAGAAAGAAAAAUCGAUUUUCUUAGUAGCGGCGAGCGAAAAGGAAAGAGCCCAAACCAGAGAUUUAUCUCUGGGGUUGCGGACAGAACAUAACGUGAAAUUAUGAUUAACCGAACACAACUGGAAAGUUGGACCGUAGGAGGUAAUAGUCCUGUAAGUAAAAGUCAUAAUGAUCAGUUCUGCACCAGAGUACCACGAGACACGUGAAACCUUGUGGGAAGCAGGGAGGACCACCUCCCAAGGCUAAAUACUACCUGAUGACCGAUAGUGAAGCAGUACCGUGAGGGAAAGGUGAAAAGAACCCCGGGAGGGGAGUGAAAUAGAACCUGAAACCAUGUGCCUACAACCGAUCAAAGCACCUUAUGUGUGUGAUGAUGUGCUUUUUGUAGAACGAGCCAACGAGUUACGGUAUGUAGCGAGGUUAAGUACUUAAGGUACGGAGCCGAAGGGAAACCGAGUCUUAAUAGGGCGACUAGUUGCAUGCUGUAGACCCGAAACCGGGUGACCUAUCCAUGGCCAGGUUGAAGCGAGGGUAAAACCUCGUGGAGGACCGAACCACGUUGCUGUUGAAAAAGCAUGGGAUGAGCUGUGGAUAGCGGAGAAAUUCCAAUCGAACUCGGAUAUAGCUGGUUCUCCUCGAAAUAGCUUUAGGGCUAGCGUCGUGAAAUGUGAGUACUGGAGGUAGAGCACUGAAUAGGCUAGGGGGCAUAGCGCUUACCGAACCUUAUCAAACUCCGAAUGCCAGAUACUAUCAGCACGGCAGUCAGACUAUGAAAGAUAAGUUCCAUGGUCAAAAGGGAAACAGCCCAGAUCGUCAGCUAAGGUCCCAAAGUGUAAGUUAAGUGGAAAAGGAUGUGGGAUUUCUAAGACAACUAGGAUGUUGGCUUAGAAGCAGCCACUCAUUAAAAGAGUGCGUAAUAGCUCACUAGUCAAGAGAUCCUGCGCCGAAAAUGUCCGGGGCUCAAACUUACCACCGAAGCUACGGGUUCAUACUUUGUAUGAGCGGUAGAGGAGCGUCGUAAUCGGGCUGAAGUCGUACCGUAAGGAGCGGUGGACUGAUUACGAGUGAGAAUGUUGGCAUUAGUAGCGAGAUGUAGGUGAGAAUCCUACAGGCCGAAUAUCUAAGGUUUCCUGAGUAAAGUUUGUCUUCUCAGGGUUAGUCGGGACCUAAGGCGAGGCCGAGAGGCGUAGUCGAUGGACAAUUGGUUGAUAUUCCAAUACCACUAUAAUCGUUAUUAUCGAUGGUGUGACGGAGAAGGAUAGGAUGUGCCAGCUAUUGGAUGCUGGUCUAAGCGUUGAGGGAGUUAGAACAGGCAAAUCCGUUCUAACAAUCCUAGGGCGUGAUGGGGAAGGUUCUACGGAACCGAAGUAUCUGAUUUCAUGCUUCCAAGAAAAGCAUCUAGAAAGAGAAGUAGUGCCCGUACCGCAAACCGACACAGGUAGAUGAGGAGAGAAUCCUAAGGCCGACGGAAGAAUCACAGUUAAGGAACUAGGCAAAUUGACCCCGUAACUUCGGGAGAAGGGGUGCCUACCAUUUGGUAGGCCGCAGAGAAUAGGCACAAGCAACUGUUUAACAAAAACACAGGUCUCUGCUAAAGCGUAAGCUGAUGUAUAGGGGCUGACGCCUGCCCGGUGCUGGAAGGUUAAGGGGAACACUUAGCGCAAGCGAAGGUGUGAACUUAAGCCCCAGUAAACGGCGGCCGUAACUAUAACGGUCCUAAGGUAGCGAAAUUCCUUGUCAGGUAAGUUCUGACCCGCACGAAUGGCGUAAUGACUUGUGCACUGUCUCAACUGUGAAUCCGGCGAAGUUGUAGUGCGAGUGAAGAUGCUCGCUACCCGCGAUUGGACGGAAAGACCCCGUAGAGCUUUACUGUAGCUUAGCAUUGAAUUUCGGUAUUGUCUGUACAGGAUAGGUGGGAGACUGGGAAAUUA